AUGAGUGGGCUGUGUGAUUUGAAGCAGAGAGCAAUGUCAUUGAGCAUGGAAAAAAAAGGACUAAGCGUGGUUGAGAAGGCUAAGGCAUCUAGCAUGACCAACUCGGUUGGUUCUAGGGUUUCUUGCAAAACACUAAAAACAAAGCACCCAAGCGUUUCUAAAGAAACAAUUUCUAAAUCGUCUCAUAUCAAUCUUGUGGACCAGAGCUGCAAUGGUAAUGUUGAGGUCUCUUCAAGAGAGGUCAUGUUAGCACCGGAAAGGCAUAUGAAGAGGGGGUACCCAAGCACAUCGCGUGAAAAAGCGCCUUAUGAAGAUUCACAUUAG
rnacentral:rRNA from 1 species